rnacentral:rRNA from 1 species
AUUGAACGCUGGCGGCAUGCCUUACACAUGCAAGUCGAACGGCAGCACGGGCUUCGGUCUGGUGGCGAGUGGCGAACGGGUGAGUAAAGUAUCGGAACGUGCCCUAGAGUGGGGGAUAACGUAGCGAAAGUUACGCUAAUACCGCAUAUUCUAUGCGUAGGAAAGCGGGGGAUCUUCGGACCUCGCGCUCUAGGAGCGGCCGAUAUCAGAUUAGCUAGUUGGUGGGGUAAAGGCCUACCAAGGCGACGAUCUGUAGCGGGUCUGAGAGGAUGGUCCGCCACACUGGGACUGAGACACGGCCCAGACUCCUACGGGAGGCAGCAGUGGGGAAUUUUGGACAAUGGGCGCAAGCCUGAUCCAGCCAUGCCGCGUGAGUGAAGAAGGCCUUCGGGUUGUAAGAUCUUCGUGGGAGAAU